rnacentral:rRNA from 1 species
GACGAACGCUGGCGGCGUGCUUAAUACAUGCAAGUCGAACGGAAAGGCCCUGCUCUUGUGGGGUGCUCGUGUGGCGAACGGGUGAGUAACACGCGAGUAACCUGCCCUUGUCUUUGGGAUAACUCCAGGAAACAGGGGCUAAUAUCGGAUAGGAGCUCUUGCUGCAUGGUGGGGGUUGGUAAGAUUCGGCGGUUGGGGAUGGAUUAGCGGCUUAUCCGCUUGUUGGUGGGGUAGUGGCUUACCAAGGCUUUGACGGGUAGCCGGCCUGGGAGGGUGACCGGCGACAAUGGGACUGAGAUACGGCCCAGACGCCAACGGGAGGCAGCAGUGGGGAAUAUUGCACAGUGGGCGGGAGCCUGAUGCAGCAGCGCCGCGUGCGGGAUGACGUCCUUCGGGUUGUAAACCGCUUUCGCCUGUGACGAAGCGUGAUUGACGGUAAUGGGUAAAAAAGCACCGGCUAACUACGUG